GACGAACGCUGGCGGCGUGCUUAACACAUGCAAGUCGUACGGUAAGGCCCUUUCGGGGGUACCCGAGUGGCGAACGGGUGCGUAACACGUGAGUAACCUGCCCACAACUUUGGGAUAACGCUAGGAAACUGGUGCUAAUACUGGAUAUGUGCUCCUGCUGCAUGGUGGGGGUUGGAAAGCUCCGGCGGUUGUGGAUGGACUCGCGGCCUAUCAGCUUGUUGGUGGGGUAGUGGCCUACCAGGGCGGCGACGGGUAGCCGGCCUGAGAGGGUGACCGGCCACAUUGGGACUGAGAUACGGCCCAGGCUCCGACGGGAGGCCGCAGUGGGGAAUAUUGCACAAUGGGCGCCAGCCUGAUGCAGCAACGCCGCGGGCGGGAGGACGGCCUUCGGGUUGUAGACCGCUUGCAGCAGGGACGAAGCUUUUUGUGACGGUACCUGCAGAAGAAGCACCGGCUAACUACGUG
rnacentral:rRNA from 1 species